AUGCGAGAGCUCUGUGAACUUUGCAGGAUGUCUGGAUCACCUCUUCUGACCAACAGCUCUACCCAAGGACAAACGUCCCCUCCCCGGCGGAUGGAAGGACAGGAUUUGUGUCUCCUGCCAGCAGGGAGCAUAGACGCUAUUUCUAUGUUAACGAGCGCUCAGGAGAGUCCCAAUGGGAGUUCCCCGACGGGGAGGACGAAGAGGAAGGACAGCGGACGUCCGAUGGGAAAGCCAGCGCCAGUCCUCCUAAAGCACCCCCAAAGGACAAGGGAGAGCGCGCCGAGGAUGCUGCCGAGCGCCCCGCAGGCUCCCUUUGUAAAGACUCCUUCUCAGGCCAAGUUCCUGCUCCGUCUCUCAUGCCGCUCACCCCAUUUUGGACUCUGCUUCAGUCUUCCGUCCCGGUCCUCCAGCCUCCUUUGCCUUUGGAAAUGCCUCCACCGCCUCCACCACCACCGGAUUCGCCUCCACCACCCCCUCCACCACCACCACCACCACCAGGAGAGGAUGGAGAGAUCCAGGAAGUGGAGAUGGAAGACGAGGGGGGCGAGGAGCCGCCUGCCCCGGGCACAGAGGAGGAUGCUCCCCUGAAGCCUCUCCCACGUCCGGCUGCCACCAGCAGCACCCAGGUGCGUGCUGCCCCACGGG
rnacentral:lncRNA from 14 species